rnacentral:rRNA from 1 species
UACGUAGGGGGCUAGCGUUGUCCGGAAUCAUUGGGCGUAAAGAGCGUGUAGGCGGUCCGGUAAGUCCGCUGUGAAAGUCGGGGGCUCAACCCUUGAAUGCCGGUGGAUACUGUCGGGCUAGAGUCCGGAAGAGGCGAGUGGAAUUCCUGGUGCAGCGGUGAAAUGCGCAGAUAUCAGGAGGAACACCAAUGGCGAAGGCAGCUCGCUGGGACGGUACUGACGCUGAGGCGCGAAAGCGUGGGGAGCAAACAGG